rnacentral:sRNA from 1 species
UGAAUUCAUUGUCCUUGUGGUGUUAC